GACGAACGCUGGCGGCGUGCUUAACACAUGCAAGUCACGGGGGCCCGCAAGGGCAACCGGCGAACGGGUGCGUAACACGUGAGCAAGCUUCCGAUUAGUGGGGGAUAGCCGGCCCAACGGCCGGGUAAUACCGCAUACGUUCACUGGACGGCAUCGUCUGGUGAGGAAACCUCCGGGGCGAAUUGAGGCGCUCGCGGCCUAUCAGCUAGUUGGCGGGGUAACGGCCCACCAAGGCUAUGACGGGUAGCUGGUCUGAGAGGAUGGCCAGCCACAUUGGGACUGCGACACGGCCCAGACUCCUACGGGAGGCAGCAGUGGGGAAUAUUGCGCAAUGGACGAAAGUCUGACGCAGCGACGCCGCGUGUGGGAUGAAGCUCUUCGGGGUGUAAACCACUGUUGCCCGGGACGAACCUCCCCUUUCGAGGGGACUGACGGUACCGGGUGAGGAAGCACCGGCUAACUCUGUGCCAGCCGCCGCUGUAACAC
rnacentral:rRNA from 1 species